rnacentral:rRNA from 1 species
GACAGAGGUGCCGAGCGUUAGGCGGAAUCACUGGGCUUAAAGCGUGUGUAGGUGGAUGCCUAAGUACCUUGUGAAAUCCCACGGCUUAACCGUGGAACUGCUUGGUAUACUGGGUGUCUUGAGCCAGCUAGGGGCUACCGGAACAAAUGGUGGAGCGGUGAAAUGCGUAGAUAUCGCCUGGAACGCCGACGGUGAAAACAGAUGACUGGGGGUGUGCCGACGCUGAGACACGAAAGCCAGGGGAGCGAACGGGG